rnacentral:lncRNA from 1 species
UGUGAGGAUAGAGGGUUUAAUUAGGUUAUUGUGCAUUUGUGUGAUUGAGAGGGAUAUUGGAUCAAUUUUAUUGUAAUUUUGUGUUAUCUAGAUUGAAUUGGUGGAUAAUUAGGAUAAAUGAUUGGAAUGGAAAAAUUAUUUGUGUGAUAUAGAAACUAUUAAAAACUUAACAGAUAAAAAUUGAAAAAAAAAAACAUAU